GACGAACGCUGGCGGCGUGCUUAACACAUGCAAGUCGAACGAAGUGGCGAACGGGUGAGUAAUACGUGGGUAACCUGCCCUCCUUUUUGGGAUAAGCCUUGGAAACGGGGUCUAAUAACGAAUAAAGGGGGAUGGGCUAGGGGCCUAUCAGGGUGGUGGUGGGGUGAUGGCCUACCGAGGCGGUGACGGGUAGCCGGCCUGCGAGGGGGACCGGCCAGAUUGCGACGGAGAUACGGCCCAGAGUGCUACGGGAGGCAGCAGUGGGGGAUAUUGCGCAAGGGGCGAAAGCCUGAGGCAGCUAUGCCGCGUGGGGGAUGAAGGCGUUCGGGUUUUAAACCUCUGUCGCUAGCGAACGGGUAGGUGGAGAAGAAGCGCCGGCUAACUACGUGCCAGCAGCCGCGGUAAUAC
rnacentral:rRNA from 1 species